rnacentral:rRNA from 1 species
UACGAAGGGUGCAAACGUUGCUCGGAAUUAUUGGGCGUAAAGCGCACGUAGGCGGCAUUGCAAGUCGGAUGUGAAAUCCCUCGGCUUAACCAAGGAAGUGCAUCCGAAACUGCAGUGCUUGAGUACUUAAGAGGAUCGCGGAAUUCCCGGUGUAGAGGUGAAAUUCGUAGAGAUCGGGAGGAACACCAGUGGCGAAGGCGGCCGGCUGGGGGUGACCUGACGCUGAGGCGCGAAAGCGUGGGGAGCGAACCGG